rnacentral:misc_RNA from 1 species
CUGGAAAAACCUUGCUUGCAAAGGUGCGUACUUGAUUUUUUUUUCCCCCUAUUAGAUUGUUGCACUUAAGUACGUCAUCUCUCAUCAUUGACUACAGUAGCAUUUGGUUUCUCUGUUUCUUAAACUUUCAAUAUGCUCCAAUAGAGAGCUCUUCACCUGUAAAAUGUAUUUUAGUUGCUGUGUCUCUCUUGACAUCAGAGAUGCUAGCUGCAGAUGACUCAUUUCAAAGCAAUAAGCUUGUUGCUCAUAUUAACUAGGUUUGAAUUCAUCCUGUUUUUCAAGAAAACCUUGCCAAGAUUAAUAUUUUGGCUCUGUUUCAACUACAUCCAAGGUUUAUGCCUUAAUUUGUAAAAGAGCAGCUUUCAAUGCUGAUCUAGAUCUACCAAGUAGUUUUGAUAUGUAAAGUGAUUUCUUGUUCUUUGCCUUUAUGGUUUAUUUCCA